rnacentral:rRNA from 1 species
ACUCCUACGGGAGGCAGCAGUGAGGAAUAUUGGUCAAUGGAGGCAACUCUGAACCAGCCAUGCCGCGUGCAGGAAGACUGCCCUAUGGGUUGUAAACUGCUUUUAUACAGGAAGAAACAGUCGUACGAGUACGACCUUGACGGUACUGUAAGAAUAAGCACCGGCUAACUCCGUGCCAGCAGCCGCGGUAAUACGGAGGGGUGCAAGCGUUAUCCGGAAUCAUUGGGUUUAAAGGGUCCGCAGGCGGUCAAUUAAGUCAGAGGUGAAAUCCCAUAGCUUAACUAUGGAACUGCCUUUGAUACUGGUUGACUUGAGUUAUACGGAAGUAGAUAGAAUAAGUAGUGUAGCGGUGAAAUGAAUAGAUAUUACUUAGAAUACCGAUUGCGAAGGCAGUCUACUACGUAUAUACUGACGCUCAUGGACGAAAGCGUGGGGAGCGAACAGGAUUAGAUACCCUGGUAGGAUAGCG